rnacentral:rRNA from 1 species
UACGUAGGUGGCAAGCGUUGUCCGGAAUUAUUGGGCGUAAAGCGCGCGCAGGCGGUCCUUUAAGUCUGAUGUGAAAGCCCACGGCUCAACCGUGGAGGGUCAUUGAAACUGGGGGACUUGAGUGCAGAAGAGGAAAGCGGAAUUCCACGUGUAGCGGUGAAAUGCGUAGAGAUGUGGAGGAACACCAGUGGCGAAGGCGGCUCACUGGACCGGUUCUGACGCUGAGGCGCGAAAGCGUGGGGAGCAACGGG